rnacentral:rRNA from 1 species
UGCAAGUCGAACGAAGUAGCAAUACUUAGUGGCAGACGGGUGAGUAACAUGUAGGUAUCUGCCCUUUGGCCUGGAAUAACACGGGGAAACUUGUGCUAAUACCGGAUAAGUCUUUACGGAGAAAGCUUUAUGCACCAUUGGAUGAGCCUGCACUUGAUUAGUUUGUUGGUGGGGUAAUGGCCUACCAAGACUGUGAUCAAUAGCUGAUUUGAGAGGAUGAUCAGCCACAUUGGGACUGAGACACGGCCCAAACUCCUACGGGAGGCAGCAGUGGGGAAUCUUGCACAAUGGAGGAAACUCUGAUGCAGCGAUGCCGCGUGAGUGAAGAAGGCCCUUGGGUUGUAAAGCUCUUUCGUCGGGGAAGAAAAUGACUGUACCCGAAUAAGAAGGUCCGGCUAACUUCGUGCCAGCAGCCGCGGUAAUACGAAGGGACCUAGCGUAGUUCGGAAUUACUGGGCUUAAAGAGUUCGUAGGUGGUUGAAAAAGUUGGUGGUGAAAUCCCAGAGCUUAACUCUGGAACUGCCAUCAAAACUUUUCAGCUAGAGUAUGAUAGAGGAAAGCAGAAUUUCUAGUGUAGAGGUGAAAUUCGUAGAUAUUAGAAAGAAUACCAAUUGCGAAGGCAGCUUUCUGGAUCAUUACUGACACUGAGGAACGAAAGCAUGGGUAGCGAAGAGGAUUAGAUACUCUCGUAGUCCAUGCCGUACACGAUGUGUGUUAGACGUUGGAAAUUUAUUUUCAGUGUCGCAGCGAAAGCGAUAAACACACCGCCUGGGGAGUACGACCGCAAGGUUAAAACUCAAAUGAAUUGACGGGGACCCGCACAAGUAGUGGAGCAUGUGGUUUAAUUCGAAGAUACGCGCAGAACCUUACCAACACUUGACAUGUUCGUCGCGACUCUAAGAGAUUAGAGUUUUCGGUUCGGCCGGACGA